rnacentral:rRNA from 1 species
UGGGGAAUAUUGGGCAAUGGGCGAAAGCCUGACUCAGCAACGCCGCGUGAAGGAAGAAGGCCUUCGGGUUGUAAACUUCUUUUAAGAGGGACGAAGAAGUGACGGUACCUCUUGAAUAAGCCACGGCUAACUACGUGCCAGCAGCCGCGGUAAUACGUAGGUGGCGAGCGUUAUCCGGAUUUAUUGGGUUUAAAGGGUGCGCAGGCGGCGCGCCAAGUCAGCGGUCAAAGUUCCGGGCUCAACCCGGUGUCGCCGUUGAAACUGGCGUGCUCGAGUGCGUGCGAGGAAGGCGGAAUGCGUUGUGUAGCGGUGAAAUGCAUAGAUAUGACGCAGAACUCCGAUUGCGAAGGCAGCUUUCCAGCGCGCUACUGACGCUGAGGCACGAAAGCGUGGGGAUCGAACAGGAUUAGAUACCCUGGUAGU